GAUUUUACUCGUGUCAAAAUCGGGCGUCAACACAUGCCCCCUAGUUUCGGAGUAAAACAUAGUCUUUAUUUCGAAAUUCUUUUCAAAUUCUCAUCCGAAACAGACGCCACGAAAACAUCCUUCCGUUUCGCGGUCUCCAACCUGAUGAUUGCAAUCUUUUCGAAACGGGCGCCCACGACAACCACUACUCCCAAAAAACUCGAAACGCCGGCGCGGUAAAAAUUCCACUUUUACCCCUUCUCAAACCUUCUUUAAAUAUCAGCACAUCCCGUACUCCUUACGACCUCACGUCCUUCUUCUUCAGCGCACAGGCUUUCUUCUUCCUCCAAUACUUUCCUUAGUCCUCCAAUUCUCCAGCACCUCCUUCCUUUCGCAUUCCC
rnacentral:lncRNA from 1 species